ensembl:lincRNA
UGGCAGGAUGGCCCCCCAGAAAGGGUAGAAUUAGGAAACCCCUUGGGCCAAUCAGAAUCCAGAGAGCCUGCUGGCUGCAGGCACAGGUGUUCUGACUGUGCUUGCUAGGACUGAAUGUUGAGCCACAUUCCCUGGAAGACAAUACCAGGAGUGCAGCUAAGAGCCUGCUGGGGAACGUCCUGGGGCUGGAGAUGGGAAGGAGGGGCCUGAUUUUGACAGAGGAGGCAUGGAAAACCUGGAGAUCCAUUGAUACAAGGGAAACAGGGGUAGCUAGUGCUUUGUUUUCUUUUUCUCUUAAGACAAGGUAUCACUAUGUUGUGUACAUUAGCCUGAAGGCUGUGGUUCUCCUACCUCAGUCUCUCAAAGCUAGUUUAUAGGAGUGUGCAGCAUGCCUAACAAGAGAUACGGGUAUUUUUUGGUCUUUUUUCAGACAAGGCCUUGCUAUGCAGUUCAGGCUGGCUCUGAGCUCACUUUGUAGCCCAGGCUAGUCUCAAACCCGGAAGGAUCCUCCUGCCUCAGCCUCUCAAGUACUGCGAUUCUAGGUGUGUGGCACCACGCCCAGCAAGAGAUAAGUUUUAAUGAGUGCCUUCAUAAAGAUGAUAUAGAAUACAACACUAGGCUGGUAUACACAGAAUGCUUGAAAAAAAUGUUCAUAAACACAGUCACAAUGCCAGCAGCAUCAUUUUUUCAUCCAAGCUUCUGCACAUCAUAGAUUCUAAGCUCACAAAUUCCUCCUAUCUCAAUCUUACUCUAAGGUAUUGUUGUGCUAUCUCCUUGUUUGUGCUUUGCCUACCAAGGCUCUUGAAGUCCCUGCCUGCUGCUCUGUCCCUUGCAGGAGGGAGCUGUCCUACUUUGGGGUGAAGGUGGCUAUUAUUGAGCCUGGUUUCUUCAAAACCAACGUGACCAGUAGUGAAAGACUCAUGUCAAGUUUUAAGAAGGCGUGGGACCAGAGCAGCUCAGAGGUCAAGGAGAUCUAUGGCGAGAAGUUUCUGGAAACCUGUCUGAAAUCAUUGAAAGUAAUGGAGCAACAGUGCAAUCCAGACCUGUCGGUGGUGACAGACUGCAUGGAGCAUGCGCUGACUGCCUGUCACCCUCGCACCCGGUACUCAGCAGGCUGGGAUGCCAAGCUCCUUUACCUCCCCUUGAGCUACCUGCCCACAUUCCUGGUGGAUGCCUUUGUGUACCUGGGCUCCCCAAAGCCAGCACAAGCCCUGUGAAGCCAACUCUUGGUUGUGUGAUCAGGGGAGAUGGGCAGAGUGUGGGUUGGGACAUAUGAGCAAAGGGAAAUGGGUGGAGGAAAGCAGCUCUUACAUGGGGCACCAUUCCCAUCUUCUUUGUGCCAAGAAUUCUUCUCAGGGAUCACUCAAGACUGGUGAAGUGAGAGGGAAAGAGUCAAGGACCUCUGGUGAGGAAUAGGGACUCAACAUCACUCACUGAUGCCCAGUUGACAGAGCUGAUGGCUCUGAGCAAUAUGGCCAACCAUGAGGAAUUUGCAUGCCUGGGAUGGCUGAAAGUGUGUGGGUGGAUGCAAAGCCCACGCCUCACUUCUUCUUUCCUUCCUCUUGAGUGUAUGCAUUGUCCUUGGAUGCUGUCUAUCUUCCCACAACAUAGAAAUUGUCUGGGACAUGUAGGGUCCCUCUCUUUUGCAAUCCCUGUGUAGGUGGAAUCAGGUGGGAGGGCAGCACCAGUCUGUGUCCUUGGCAUUUAUUGGUUUGUCCUAGAUCUGUCCUCCACAUAGAUCCUGUGAGAGGAUGAACAAAUUGUCAUCGUUUGUGUCUAGAUAUCCUCCCAGUGCUCCAUGAGAUCAUAGGUGCGGCUGCUUCAGAGGUGCCUGAAUCUAGAGUAUGUGAUGCUGAAGUUAAGGGUGUGCAAUUACUAAAUGAGUCCAUUGAUUACUUUGGCAUUGCCUUAUUCCAGGUAGCUUAGACAGAGUGUAAAGGAGUCAGAAAGCAGCUGCUAAGGUCCUUUGUUUUGGUACCUUCUGCCUGUUAUGAAGUGUUUUCCCUCUGCAAUGCCUGUCUUCCAUGUCAUCCUACCUUGGAGAAGCUGUUCAUGGACUGAAAUGAUUUCAAACUGUGAACUAAAUAAACUUUUACUGACUUGACUUUGGGUGUUGAGUCAUUUUUCUGAGGAACAGUAAAAAGAAGACACAAACCAAUUUCUUUGUCUUGAAAUCAUGGCUUAUUUUGAUACUUUUGUUAUCAAAUAAAUAGAAUCUUGGGAAUGGAAAAGAGGACCAUGCCCAGUGAUGUGAAACAUUGUUGGAGAA